rnacentral:rRNA from 1 species
AAUCAACGCUGGCGGCGUGCCUAACACAUGCAAGUCGCACGAGAAAGGGACUUCGGUCCUGAGUACAGUGGCGCACGGGUGAGUAACACGUGAAUAAUCUACCUCCGAGUGGGGAAUAACUGAGAGAAAUCUUAGCUAAUACCGCAUAACACUUACGAGUCAAAGCAGCAAUGCGCUUGGAGGGGAGUUCGCGGCAGAUUAGUUAGUUGGCAGGGUAAUGGCCUACCAAGACGAUGAUCUGUAUCCGGCCUGAGAGGGCGCACGGACACACUGGAACUGAAACACGGUCCAGACUCC